rnacentral:rRNA from 1 species
GUAGGGAAUAUUGGGCAAUGGAUGCAAGUCUGACCCAGCCAUCCCGCGUGCCGGAAGAAGGCCCUCAGGGUUGUAAACGGCUUUUGACGGUGAAGAAUCGACAGGAUGCGUCCUGUUUUGACGGUAGCCGUUGAAUAAGCACCGGCUAACUCCGUGCCAGCAGCCGCGGUAAUACGGCGGGUGCGAGCGUUGUCCGGAUUUAUUGGGUUUAAAGGGUGCGUAGGCUGGAAGGUCAGUCAGCGGUGAAAAGCUGUCGCUUAACGAUAGUCUUGCCGCAGAUACUUCAUUUCUUGGAUGAGGAGGAGGCCACUGGAACGGAUGGUGUAGCGGUGAAAUGCAUAGAUAUCAUCCAGAACACCGAUUGCGAAGGCAGGUGGCUGUACCUUAAUCGACGCUGAUGCACGAAAGCAUGGGGAGCAAACAGGAUUAGAUACCCGGGUAGUCC